UCUAAGAGCAACAUGUUGUUCUAACACCUCGCUGGAUCAAAUGAGUCCAUUUUAACUCAAGGAAGCCUGGAUUUCACUGGACAGCCGUGUCCCAAGAAAUUUCAUUUCAUCUUAAAGGGCUGAGGUGCUUCUCUGUAUCCAGAAAAUUGCCAAAGUGGAUGUACCAUUUUCCACUGCCAUCAGCGAUGCAUGAGAGUUCCAGUCACUCCAAGAACUCUUGAAUGAAGUCUGACGACAUGUCUUUAUCUUCUAGUUAUACGUAUUAAAAUACAUAUAUACAGAACAAUAUGAUAUCUGGGAUUUGCUUCAAAACAGUAAAGGAUGAAGGAAGGAGA